GCUACUCUCAGGUGGUAGUUUCAGUCAGUCGGUAGUGUGUUUGGGCCGCUGGACAUCUCAUGGUUCUUACCGCAAAAACUAACACAAUUAAGCGACACUAAACAAUCAGCUAGCUAAAUACUGAACAAGUAACACCGACUAAUAAACUACAGUCUGUAAAAUACAACUGCAGCGAGACGGAAGAAGAGACUGUGCUAAUGUUUGAUGAGCGCGUGGUUGGAUGAGACAACAUGACGUCACUUUACACUGAUACAGAUUGGUGCAGUCUCUGAUGUGACAGGGGAGUGAGUUCCAGAGGGAGGGGGCAGCUAUGGAGAAUGGUCUGUCACCACUGGUCCGGUUCCUGGUCCUGUGUGGUGGAGAUAGGAGGUUGGCGACAGAGGACAGAGGAUGGUGGUGGAUUUGGUCGGUGAGUGUUACAGCAGUACAAUGAGGACUCACCAUUCUGGCUGGCGGUUGAAGAGCGUGCUGGAGGGGUGGAGGUAAACCACCUGCUGGUCAAUCAGGGUACGGUACCCAUCAUGGGGAUGCUUCCUGGCAGAGUUCCUGAAGUAAC